GGGUCGAUGGCGUAGCUGGUUAUCGCAUCUGUCUAACAAUUGUUGGUCACAGAAGGUCCUCAGUUCGAACCUGGGUCGACUCA
rnacentral:tRNA from 1 species